rnacentral:misc_RNA from 1 species
GAUGAAGAACGCAGCGAAAUGCGAUAAGUAAUGUGAAUUGCAGAAUUCAGUGAAUCAUCGAAUCUUUGAACGCACCUUGCGCUCCUUGGUAUUCCGAGGAGCAUGCCUGUUUGAGUGUCAUGAAAUUCUCAACCUUUUCAGCUUUCUUUGUUGAUCAGGCUUGGAUGUGGGAGUAUGCGGGCUUCUCAGAAGUCGGCUCUCCUGAAAUGCAUUAGCGGGACCUUUGUUGCCUGGCUUUGGUGUGAUAAUUAUCUACGCCAUUGUAGUCAAGCAGCUUUAAAUGAGGUUUCAGCUUCUAACCGUCUCCCCUGAGACAACUUUUUGACAAUUUGACCUCAAAUCAGGUAGGACUACCCGCUGAACUUAAGCAUAUCAAUAAGCGGAGGA